CAGGCUAAUCUAUAGGAAUUAUUCAUUUACAUUGAAGAAAUUGUCGUGCAAUUCGGUAUAGCUUGA
rnacentral:tRNA from 1 species